rnacentral:rRNA from 1 species
AUUGAACGCUGGCGGCAUGCCUUACACGUGCAAGUCGAACGGCAGCACGGGAGCAAUCCUGGUGGCGAGUGGCGAACGGGUGAGUAAAGUAUCGGAACGUGCCCAGUCGUGGGGGUUAACGUAGCGAAAGUUACGCUAAUACCGCAUACGAUCUAUGGAUGAAAGCGGGGGAUCGCAAGACCUCGCGCGAUUGGAGCGGCCGAUAUCAGAUUAGGUAGUUGGUGGGGUAAAGGCUCACCAAGCCAACGAUCUGUAGCUGGUCUGAGAGGACGACCAGCCACACUGGGACUGAGACACGGCCCAGACUCCUACGGGAGGCAGCAGUGGGGAAUUUUGGACAAUGGGCGAAAGCCUGAUCCAGCCAUGCCGCGUGCAGGAUGAAGGCCUUCGGGUUGUAAACUGCUUUUGUACGGAACGAAAAGGUUUGGCCUAAUAAGCUGAGCUCAUGACGGUACCGUAAGAAUAAGCACCGGCUAACUACGUGCCAGCAGCCGCCGUAA